GAUGAACGCUAGCGGGAGGCCUAACACAUGCAAGCCGAGCGGUAUUGUUUCUUCGGAAAUGAGAGAGCGGCGUAUGGGUGCGUAACACGUGUGCAACCUGCCUUUAUCUGGGGGAUAGCCUUUCGAAAGGAAGAUUAAUACUCCAUAAUAUAUUGAACGGCAUCGUUUAAUAUUGAAAGCUCCGGCGGAUAGAGAUGGGCACGCGCAAGAUUAGCUAGUUGGCGAGGUAACGGCUCACCAAGGCGAUGAUCUUUAGGGGGCCUGAGAGGGUGAUCCCCCACACUGGUACUGAGACACGGACCAGACUCCUACGGGAGGCAGCAGUGAGGAAUAUUGGUCAAUGGGUGCAAGCCUGAACCAGCCAUCCCGCGUGAAGAACGACUGCCCUAUGGGUUGUAAACUUCUUUUGUAUAGGGAUAAACCUACCCUCGAGAGGGUAGCUGAAGGUACUAUACGAAUAAGCACCGGCUAACUCCGUG
rnacentral:rRNA from 1 species